AAGAAGGUCUAGAAGAAGAUGGAAGACACCAUAUUUGUUCUUUUCAUCGCAUCCAACUGGGAAUCCAGAAGUUUUCAUUUCCUGCACAAAUGAUCUUAAAACCUUGAAAAAGGUAGAAGAACCAAGAAGAGAAAUAAGUAAAAGAAAGAAAAUUAAAAGAAAGAUCUCAAAGGAAAGAAAUGGAAAGGAACAAAGCAGUUUCUGCAAAUGAAGACCUGUUCUUUCCAGCAAGUGAACGAUAAGCUUCCUGAAGUUGGGCUGCUACUGUGUGAUCCUCACUCCUGGAUGCAGCAG